GUGCUGUCCCUUAGGCGCGGGUGAUCUGUCUUCCUUCUUCUGUGCCCGAGGUGCAGCUGGCAGCCGCUCAAACCUUUGAAGCUGGUCGGCUGGGAGACCACCUUGGUGCCAGGGAAAAAGCCGCGGGCGGGACCCAGAGAUAUGGGUUGGGCAGACGGAGGUUGCCAGGCUGAAGCUGUUUUGGGGUGGGAGCAGAAAAUGUGAAGAGCUGCCUUCCCGGCCUCUGAGAAAGCUCCUUUGCUGUCUUCCGGUUUGGAAUUCUGUGCUUUGCACUUGCCGCCAAGUGGGUGUGGGUCAGGUCUGGGUUGCACACGUGUGACUGUAAAGCUGUGAUUAGCCGCUAUUUCCUGACUUGUAGCCCUCGCUCUCCCCGGUUUGCUGAAUUUGGCUCUGGGAAGGUGUUUUAUGUAGUUUGGGACCGGUUUCCAAGUUGGAGACUAGUCACGUCACGGCUCUCUAAUACUUAUUUGCUGGUUGCAGGUUGUAGUCCUCUUCAAAAGGAAAGGAUGUGUGUGUCUCAGGUAUCAUUUGGCCCUGUAGCCUGGGAGAUGUUACAUUCUAAGAGAAAGAGAAAAGAGAAUUAAAUUCACUCCAGCCCUCACAGAAUAUUUAAAAUAGGGUUUUAAAAUUCAUCACAGCUACUUUGUAUCAACCUGACUUUGCUGCUUUCUUCAGUUCCACUGUAGAGACCAAAAGUCAAACUUUCAUCAUAGACUACCUUUUCUUUUGGUCGCGCUCCACUCCCCACCCAUUUUGUUUAAGUGUUAAUUUUGGGGGUUAAUUUGGGUUCUCAGUCCUUGUUGAUGUUUUUUCCAUUUAACCUUCACAGCUUUUUAUCUCAGUAGCAGGGAAAUAAAAGUGCAAUUUCUUCCCACUUUCCAUGAGUGAGAUUCCUAUCAAUGGGUUUGCCAUAUAUCCCGUACUUAUGUUUUUCCAGAUCACCAAAAUUCCACAUUUUAAGAUAUAAAGUUGGAAGCUUUAAUAAUUUGGCGGGGGGGGGGGGCGUUGUUUAUGGUUUUUGUUUUUGUGGGGGUUUUGGUUGGUUGGUUGGUUAGUUUUGGUUUUUAGAGACAGAGUUUCUCUGUGUAGCUCUGGCUGACCUGAAACUCACUCUAAACCAGGCUGGCCUCGAACUCAGAAACCCGCCUGCCUCUGCCUCCCAAAUGCUAGGAUUAAAGGCGUGCGCCGCCACUGCCCGGCUUCUUCUCCUCACUGAUAACUUUUUCUCACGGGUUAAUUUAUUUGAAAACUUGAAAAUACCUCUAAAGCAUAAAUAAUUACCUUACACUUAGAAUUCAUUACAAAUAUUUCAAGCACUUCAUUCAGAGGUCUGUAGAUUAAAAAAAUAAUAAUAAUAGUAACAUCCACUACACAGUUCCACUUAUAAAGACAAAAGUGAUGCAUAUUUUAUAACAUAGUCCUUUAUAAUAUGCAUUGUAUACCCCAUUUUAAAAUAAGAGGGAUGAUUCUAGUAAACUCAAAGAUCUACAGCUUUCUUCUUCCUAUUGUUUAUCAAAGAUACUUCUAUAUCAAUUUUUUUGUUACAUUUGUUAGUGAAUACACUCAUGUUCCAUAGGAAAGAUAUUCCAUACUCUAGCCAGUCCCCUGUUAGUAAAUGUAUAAAGUAGCUCUGAUUUUCAAUAGCAUUACAGAGAGUGGAUUUAUAUAUAUGUAUAAUAUAUUUGUCAUAUAUUAUAUACAUAAUAUAGAUGGAUAGAUAGAUGUUUGCCCAGUAGAGUAUUAAGUUUGUGUGAGUUUUCCAUGAAUGCCAGUUUUCCCUGUUAAAAGUACUCAUGAAUAUUUCCCAAUAAUAAUCAAGUGUCCUUUACCCACUUAGUAUUUUCAAAAAGUAUAAGGAAAUUAUUAAUCAAGGACCAGUGUUGAAAUAUGGUAAGCCUGAAUUGGGUGACUAAUGAAAACUUAAUUUUAGGCUCCAAAUUAUCUUCCACAAAACCAUUGAGCAGCAGUGAAUUUUCAGUGGUUGUCACAAAAACAAACCCUCUCCUUACUUCAGAACUGCCCAGUAUUAUCAUUGAUUUAGACCAGUGACUGGGGGAGCUUCAUGACUGAUUCUUAUGUCAUUAAAAUUCUCCUUUAAUAAUGGAUCACUCUAUGACUUUAUCAGAAUUCUUUUCAAAUCCUGCAAAAUGGGACACAUAGUAUAGGUGGGAAUAAUUGCAUUAGGAGUAAUUUCUUCUUAAGUUAUCCAGGAUGUCUUUCUCUGUAAAAUCACAGACCUCUUUAAUUUCUGGAAAACUGCUGCUUUUCAGAGGUUUCUUCCAAUUCUAAUUAAAAUGUCAGUCUGUGUGUUUAAUAUCCUGAGACAAAAGGGCCUGAGGAGCCAUUUAACAGAAAUCCUAGCAGUUCUAUAAAAUCUCUGCUACAAGGAGUCACUAGGUGGAGUGCAGGCAUAUACAGCUCCCUCGCUGAGACCUCUGCGCUUCCAGGGGUUUCUUUAGUCCGUUCCUCCCCAAGUCCCUAUACUGGUUGGUUCACCUCAAAAUUAUGUUUUGAGAAAAAUCAAAAAGUCUAUUUUGUUGUCAGUACAGAUAAAGAAAGAGAUGACACCAAGUGUGCACCUAUCUUCCUUGCGUGUUCUCCAGUACACAAGAACCCUGGGGUGCUUAAAAGCCAAGCCUGGCCCCUUGUGCCUGAAACCCUAGCUUUGUGAGCUGGGAACAGAAGGAUCCCAGCUGCUCUUUACUCACCUCUAUGGCAGAAGCAGUGAGCUUCAGGUUCAGUGACAGCCUGAGGCGAAUAGGAUGGAGCAUGAAAGAGGGGAAAACCAGAUGCCCUCCUCUGGCCUUCCCAUUCGGGUAUGCAAGUGUGCAACACACACACACACACACCAGAGCACUAUAUGUUGCUAUUUAUUCUAAUCUAGGUUUUAAUGAGAAAUGAGUCUGUAGUUCAGUGAUUGACACUUACAGGAGGAUUUUGUGACUAGGGUGAUUUCUGAAGAUGAUGUUUGCCUAUAUUGUAAGACUCUGGCGGUCAACUUGGGUGUCUUCUCCAAAUGAAUACAUAGGAGAUCACAAUGGUGGUGUUUGAACUUGGGGUGCUGGUCCUGCAGAGACCUUAUGAAUUUCAUUGUUAGGUUUGUGGAAGGAGUUGUGAAGAGUAGCAAGUGAAAAUCCUUGCUCUUGUAUUCCAUAUUCCGAUAAAUGCUAGAAACCUAGGGAGCAUCGUUGAGUCCCUUCUUGCCCACGGGCCCUGAAUUUGAUCAGUUACCAAGUCUUCCUCUGUUCCAAAGCAAUGGAAUCUGCCCUCAGUUCCCCUCUGUACACUAUUCCCAUUCUGUUUCUAACCCUGGGCAUCACGCCUCAUCCCCUAGCUCUGUCUUGCACCUCCCAGUCUGUGCUCCAAAAAAAAAGCCAAGACCUUGUUGGACUUGUUUGGUCUGCCUGAUCCUGGCACAGUGUUAAUAUAUAAUAGAUGCUUGAGCUAAACAGUAGUCUAGCCUUCCCAGUCGGAAAACCUUCUUUUGACCUCCUUGACACUUAACUUUACCCCUUUUAAUCUUUUGAAGACAAAUCUAUUUGGGGGUCUGCACUGGGAAUCUUCACUACAACUGGGCUACAUGCCUAAGUAGGUCCUAACUUCUUUAGGUAAUAGUUAUUCUGCUUUUCAGCCUCAUCUUUUUUUUAGCCCUCUUCCGUGUUCAUAUCUUCAUUAUCUGCAUCUCUUGUCACACUCUAGUUACGUUAGCAUCUGCACUUACCAAAGCCAAGCCUUAUUUACUUUAUAUCUGUCAACUGUCAGAGCUGCACGCAAUAAGGAGUAACAGUUUGAAUGCUGAGAAGAUUUUUGAAGCUUACUCAAAGUGUUUAUUUAGCAUGGCUGACACUUUAAGCAGAAGAAUUGAAAUAGAAUUUUAUAAAAAAAAAUGAGGAAAUGAUUUGUUUGUGAAAGGUAUGCAUACCAACUAGAAAUGCAAGUAUCAUCAGAAGACAUUUUGUCAGAGCUAAUCAUGGUGUUUGCCUUUUAUGUUGUUUUUCUGCCCUUUUUAAAAGUGAUCUUCUAAUAUUAUUUAGAUAAGGAUUAAGUUUUCAGACCUGCCACACGAUCCUUGGGUUCUGCCUUCCAUCAUCUGUGUGGCUGGUUGCCAGUUUCCUACAGGCUGGUUUCUGGUCUCUCAUAUUUGGCAUGGCUAUGGAAAGGGGACUAGACUCUAUUUGAGAAAAGCUGUAUUUCAGUUUUAAUUCUGGCCGUAAAUAGCUAUGUAACAGAGCGGUAUGCUGCACAUUAGUAAAAAUAUACACAAACACCAGCCUUGCAAAAUUCCUGAUUAUUUCAUUGAGUUACAUGUCUAUGAAAGAUCAGUAUAUAUUUAUUCUAUAAAGCUAGAUCUUAAAUAAUAUCGGUUGUUCUCAUGAUGAAGAUACACCUCACUGAAUAAUAAAGCUGCCUGGCCUCUGAUUCUGGGUGUAGGUAAGAGGCAAUAAGUUGUGGUGAGACCCAGGGGAAGCUUAGGAAUGCUCCCAUAACUGCUGAUGCCUGCUAUACCCUCCCGGAAUGUGGGGGCUGUCACAGUAUCUGUCAGAGCUCUAUGCUCACAUUGUAACUUGUGUGCCCUGAAAGCCCUUUACAUACCUUCUACACUGUUUCCACCCUACACAGCUCUGUCCCUUUGCACUCAGAUACCCACACCACACGUCCUCCCGGACUCUCCUCUCUGCUGGGAUGGCCUUGAGAGGUAGAGGCCUGAGGAUAUCACCGGGAACACGGUUGUUAUAUAUCUUGCGUGGUACCAGGACCUUCUCGGAGCAUCUUUUUUUAUUUUUCUAUAAUACAUGAAACCCAACAAGUGACUUCCUAGAGGAACCUUUAUAAAAAGGGCUAUUAUAAUAAUGGAAGUGGUAAUGAUGGCUAACAUUUGUGAAGUGCUAAUUCCAUCCCGCACUUACGGUUUCAAACCACUUACAGUAUUUGUCUCAUUUAAUCCUUUUUAUUUAUAAGUGAGGAAAAUGAUACAAAAAGUGGUGCGCGCAAGGUCACACGGUUCCUGAAAGAGGGCUUUUACCCAGUCAGUGCACAAGUAUAAUAGUUUGACAUGGUAACUGAAUUCUAUUAGGUGAAGUCUGAAGUCAACUUUCUUAAAUACUAAUAUGUUCUAAAGUGAAUGUUGCUAUAGCAGGGUAGUGGAGGACAGUGAAAAGAUCGAGGACAGGCCAACUGAGGAUGGAAUUCUGGUGACUCACCAAGCUCAAACCAACAAAGCUGGGAAUCUCCUUCUGUAGCAAUGGCAAUAUAACGGUCCUGCUGCAAUGCAGAGAUGACCCCGUGGGAUAACACAUAUAGUAGCCUGGUCUUCAGGAAAUGGCGACUGUUGUCAUGGUCUGAUUGUUUUCCCUACCUCCAGGACAAGUUCCUACUUGGUGGACACAGUAUCAUUGUGAAUUUGUAUGCAAUUCUCUUCAUGUUAACAAGAGUUCUGCAUUCAUAUAAAACAGUAAUGUCCUUUCCAACACACACUCAGGUUCCAUCUAGAAAACUGAAAAAAAAAAAAUGUCUGUUGGAGUCACAUAAUGGAAACCAUGCCUCUAAAUGCAGAUCAGGGCACAUAGAACUAGACAGUGGACGCUAACAGUCAUCUGCAACAGCUGGAUACAUGCAGGCUUUAACUACCUAUUCCUGGCUAAUGUGGGCCCAGAAUUAGGGUUCGAUGUUGUCAGAGCAUUUCCACUGCUGGGAGAGUAAACACCAUGACCAAAGUCAAUUUGGGGAGGAAAAGGUUUAUUUCACCUUGUAGUCUGUCAUCCAGAGAAGUCAAGGCAGGAACGUGGAGGCAAGAACUGAUGCAGAGGCCAUGGAGGAGUGCAGCUGACUGUCUUGCCCUUUGCAGCUUGCUCAGCUGGUUUUCUUAUGCUGCCCAAGACCACCACAAAGGGCUGGGCCCACUUGCAUCAAUCACUGAGUAAGGAAAUGCACUACAGAUUUGCCUACAGGCUAAUUUCAUGGAGGCGUUUUUCAGUUGAGGUUCCCUUUUCCCAAGUGUCUCUAGCUUGUAUCAAGUUGACAUAAAACUAGCUGGUACUGCUAUGGUUUAUCUAAUCAAUACAUCUACAGAAUUGGCAGGUAACUCACAGGACCCGAACGGCUCGUCACCUCUUACUGAAGCAAGUAAGUUCUACUGACCUUCACUCAAAUGUAAGCAGGGUAGCAUUUUUUUCAGAAAUAAUAAUAAUCUCAUUGAUCCACCUUUGGCUUGUCUUUACAUCUGAUCCCAUCAUUGUGUGACGUGUGCUAUUUGUUUGCAAAGUGUCCUUCUGAGGUUAGGUACUAUCUUGGGCCAUCAGGAACCCAAAAAAAUGUUUUUUGAAGCUAAACAGGACUUAAUCUUUUCUUUCUUUCAUGUAGGACUCAGCAUGGUCAAGUACUAGAAUACUUUAAAAGCAUUUGUCACAUAGUUAGGCUUUCUCCAUAUUUAGCAUAUCUUAAAUAAUAAACAUAUGGAAGGAAAUGUAUGGAAUAAUAGUCAAGACUGGGUUCGAUGUUGAAUAUUCUACUUUGUAACCAAGUAAACUUAAAAGAAACUUUUUAACCUCUUUGAGCCCAAAUUUCAUCAGAAAAACAAUGGUGCCUCUAGUAUUGUUGAGCACUUAAUGAAGUGGUGUGUGUGAAAGCCCUCUGAGUCCCUUGCAAAAACAAAUACAGGCUAGGAGGUGUUAUCUGCAGAGGCAUAGUGGGCACGAGCCUUGGAAUUGAACAAUCGGGAUUGUUAAAAAAAUACUGUGUGACUUUGAGCCAAUCAAGGGACUCCCUUGCCAUUAUUACAAGUGAAGUAGGGUCAGGAGAGGAAUAGGGUGUCACAUUUAUAAUUCAGACCCUGUACGACAAAAAGUCCCAUCCUGUUCUGUUCUUAUGGUAGACAAAAAGCCCACCAGGUGCAGACCCCAAAGUCAAAGGAGCCAUUGAGCUCUAUUUUGGAGGGGGGCAGGGGGAUGGGAGGGGGAAGGAGGGGUGUCUUAGAACAAAGGACAAGAUUUCUUUGAGAAUGCUAUCCUCUUGGUGGUAGAAAAUGACUAGACUGGGUCACUCCAGAAACAGCAGGAAAAGACCCACAUCCCUUACUCCCCCUUUACCUCUAUAAAAGCUUUUGCUUGCAAAGUUUGUUCUCCUUGUUUUAUUUCUGUAGACACUGAGAUCAGAGGACCUCGUAUCUGGUCUCACACUGCUGCUACUUCAGAACUCGGGCUAUACCUUUACUUAUUAAUUAGGUGUUUUUGUUUCAAGACAGAGUUCACUAUGGAACUCAGUAUGUAGGCUUGCCAGCCUGGAAUUUGGACACUCUGCCUCCCCAGCCCUGGGAGGUACCAGUCUGUUUGUUUUGCAUUGCUGAUAACUGAACCCAGAGCAUCCUGCAUGCUAGGCAAGCAUUCUGUCACUUACACAGCCAGCUCCAAACUAAAAGAAAACAAGGGAGGUCAGCAAAGCUCUGCAAGGACAAGUCCCUCCCUGGUAUUAGAAAAGCCCAUCAAUCUAGGGACUGUCACAUAUUCCGUUUGCACUAAGUCGCAGAGACAGUAUCAUGUUGUGAUGGCAUUUGGGCUUGUUUGAGUAGUGAUUGAGGACCACCUACUUGGCUUCCUUCUGUAUGGACAAAAGAAUAAAGAGAAUUCUUUGACUUUGUCCAUGGAGUCUGGGUGUUCUGCUCAGCAUCCCUGUCUCAGCAGAGCAAAGCAAAUGGUCCUUUCUGUUUCCUUGUUGCUCUUGAAAAAUGUGGAUACAUUUAAAGCUAUGAUGUGUACUGACGUAGGAACUUACUGAAGUUUGUAAAUGACUUUAUUUGUAUAAGGAAGGAAAUUCCUAUUUCAUGGCUGUCUUUCUCUAAUGCUUUCUUAAUUCUUAAUGAAAAGAUGGCCUUUCCCAUCUCACCUCUAAUUAAUGCUUUUAUCUGGAUACAUAGAUACUUGAUUUUCCCCCCAACUAAGGACCUCAGAAUUGUAAUUGUGGUUGUUUAUUUAGCACAGUCUUCUGUUGUAUAACAGACUGCUCUUCACCAGUAAUAGCCAAUUAGAAAAGAAAAUAUCUGAUCGUAAUUACCAUUAGAAAGCAAUUAAUAGCAGGAGCUGCUGUUGGGCUGCAGCAUCAAUUGGCUAUCUUUUCUAAAUCGCAUGUAACUAAUUUCCUCAAAGAAGAAAGAGAAUGAGAACGAAAGGAAGGUGAGAGCCUGGAGCUCCUUGGAAUUCCUCACAGACCAAUUUAUGAAUGGCUCUUGAAAGCUUUUCAAGUCUGCAGCCAUUGAUGAGAGGAAGUCUUGCUAAUAACUGACUGGGACACUCACUGAGUUAUUUUUCUAGCAGCAAUAGAAAAAUCCAUAGAAAAUAGGAAUUAGUGAAGACAAAGGCUGGGAGUCUUGAUCCCAUUCCUGCUUCUGACUGAUUUCAUAGCCAUUUGUACCCCUGGUCAAGGUUCCCUGGUUGUAAAUGAGAACACAAGCGUGUGUCAGGGUUCUUUCACGUAAAUCUUACAUAUAUCACUUUUUAAAAAGUCAUUGAGUUUACAUUUCCUGGGUUCUGCAAAAAGCACACAUCAGAGUGUUUCCUCAAGAAUAAAUUCCACAUUUGACGUUCAUUAAUCAGUUGUGUCAGGUUAGAAAAUUAGCUGAGAACCACUGCCAAGAGUUGACUUCUGAGUCCCUCACUCCAAGACAACAUAAAUUGAUCAUUAGAUCGCUUCUAAUCAGAUUUAGGCAGAGCCCAUCAUGGAUAUGAAUGAAUCAUCAACUACACAUUCAGGAAGGCUUGCCUGCUGUAAUAGGACAUUUCUCUGUAUAGAGCUGUGCUCAGGUCCAGAUACAAGGGGAAAUGGUGAUUUAUAGCCCAGAAGAUUGAGGGUGUUCAAGGUUGGGAGGUAGACAUUUCUGAGAGAAUGCAGCAAAAGUAAAGGGAAAUUCUUUGGUAAAGCUGACCAGGGUGAUUAGGUUCAUCUCAGGGCUGGUGGAAGGAUGGAGACUUUGAUCAGAUAUCAGGGUGAUAAGCUACUGAGAACGUAUGCAAAUUCACCUAACUGGAUUCCAGCUGAAAUUGAACAAUGCAGACUGGGAAGGACCAGGCUUCCAUAAGGAAAGGUUACAGAGGGACGAGAGGUCUUUGUUGGUAGCAAGAGCAUAUCAGCAGGUAAACAGGGCUUUAGGGACAGGAAUCGAGUUAUAGGCUUUAGAGAAGCAGAUUUAGGGGACCAUGGAUUCUGGGUGAAGUAUCAAGUCAGUUAAGUUCUAUAGAUCAGGUCAAUAGAUGAAGGAUCCAGUUACUAGAAAAAGAAUACAAGUUGAGAUUUGAUAUCAAGAAACUGGCUAUACGACAGUAGCUAGCGUUCCAGACCUCUGUAAAGAGGAGGCCAAGUAGACUGAGUUGACACAAAGCCACUGUUAUAAAACAUAGCCACAGUGAUGAUGGGACUUGCUCAUUAGUGAUUCUUGCAGGAACCUUAGCACCAGACAGGACAUCACAAAUGGUCAUGUGACCGGCUACUGAACUCCUAACUCUGAGUUCUUUAAUUCUGAGUGUAAGCAAAUUGUAAGAUAACCCUACAGCAUAAAGGGAUAGCACCCUUCUUUUUGAUGAUCCCUACAGUGUAAGGAAUUGUAUACUGUGGCCUUCCUAUUGCUAUUAUUUCUCUUGUGAAAUGUUUGUUAUUGACAGAACAGAUUAGAUUUAUGUUCAUAACUACCAGGUUCGUGAGCUAUUUUUUUGUACCAGCAAUUAUCAUUAUUCCCUUAAAGAGGGCACAGUCUCAUUUUCUGUUUGCUUUGUUGAAUUUUGCUUUUCCAAACUCAAUGUCUUUGCAUACUAGUUAGGCACUCUUGUCUCUGAGCUAAGUAUCCAGACCGAUUUUCCUCUCAGUACUAAGUCAGCAUACAACAGACAUGCAAGCUUACCUUGUUUCUUUCUUUCUUUGUUUUGGGGACACAGUUUCUCUACGUAGCUCUAGCUGGCCUGGAACUCACAACAUAGACCAGAAUGGCAUCAAGUACUUCCUAUGUGUCCUAAGUGCUGGGAUUAAAGACAUAUGCAACCGUGCCCAGCGAAGCUCACAUUUUCUGAGAACCUAGAUGAGCUAGAGAUGAACUAAACCCCUUAGAUAGUAGACUACACAGAAAGUCAGUUCUGUGCUGUCUUGUUCUUAAGAUGUUUUUAUAGAAAUUUACUUUUUAUUCAUUGGGUAAGUGAAUUAGCCAGAACCAACAUUAAAUUAAUAUGUUAUUUAUGCUUAUAGGGACAGUACUCUGAUUCCAUAGAAGACAAGAAGGAAUUAUUUUUUUUACAUAUACAGAAUUUCAUGAGUGAACAAUUUACAAAUAUAAGUUAUGUAGCUUUGCUCCAGAAUUUAUUCUAACUUUAUGGCUGUUCAGGAGGUAAAUAUUCUAUUUAGUUUUCCAAACAUUUAACUACCACUUUCCAUUUAUGAAUUAUACCUACUCAAGUUUUAUGUAUGCUAGUCUUCCAUGGAAUUUAAUAUAGGAAACUAGUCAGGGUCCUCUCCCCAUUAUUUAUUAAGAAUUUAGACAUUCCAAAAUGUUCUAAGAAGAGGCCUCCCUGUGCCUAUGAUAGGACCUCUGGGGUGGUCCCCUACACUGCAUCCUGGCUUUGUGCCUUUAAUCCAAAGUGUGAAGGCUGCUAAAUGCAUUUAUAUAAGAAAUGGCAUCUUUUUCUGUUGAAUGAUGUAGCCUUUUUUAGGAGUAUUUCUUCCAUUAUAUCUAGGAAGGUAAGAAAAAAUAUAUAGAAUAUAUAUGUAUAUGUUAUCUCUAAGAUAUAAUAAUUAAAAAUUAUAGGAAUAAAACUACCAUUUUAGCUCUAUGAGAAUACUUAAUCUUCCAGUUGGUGCCUUUUCUUUCACUCUUUCCUUUCUCCUUUGCUUUUAUAUCCACACUGCUUAGAGUGCGCUCUACCACUGUCCUAUACCUGCAUUCCAACGUAUUUAAUUUUAAUAUCACCUCUUGCUACAUUUACAUUAAGACUUAACUAUUGAACAUAGAACAGAAAAGUUUUUUCAGUAACCCAUGUUACUGAGUUUCUGACCCAUAGUUUGGAGAACUCAACCCUGUGCUUUAUUAUAUUGUCAGGUUACUAUGGUUAUUUAAUGCAUUAUUUAAGUUAAUAAAAAAUUUAACCCACAUUCUUCUAUCAGCUUUCAAUGACUUCAAGAAUGUGAGUCCAUUUUUAACCUAUUUGUGUGUGACAUCAGUGUCAGAAGUGUCUGUAGAACAUUGUCAUUUAUGAAUUAGAUGAUAAAUCCAGACUCUCUUUGAUGCUUGUAGAGGAAUUGUUUGGUGAAAGGUUGUUUAAAACAGCUUUGAUGUGAUUCAUAGUACCCGUUGUUAUUCACGUCUGGUUGGCAGUCAUGAGAUCCAACUGGCAACUCUCCAUUUCUUCAGGACUCACUCUCACUUUCAUUAAAUGUGGUCUCCUAGCAGACUGACUUAGGCAGCUUACAAAGCAAAGCAGGAUGGCUCCCUUUUGUCUUGUUGCUCUUCCUGAAAUUAGGUUUGCUGUAUAGUUUGUAGUAAUGCAUUAGAAAAUCAGCCUUGAAACACAUCGUUCUUAUGGUUAUCAAGAACAGUUAUAACUUUAUCUGUGUUAGUUAUCUGCAGGAGUUCAAAUACACUCCCAUUUGUGUGUGAGCUGAUUGGUAGCUUUGUGGCAACCUAAGUUGUAUUCCACAACUGCAUGCUUCACUUGCCUUUUCCUCUUUCUUUUAUUUCUUCAUGUGUGCAGAUGUUUCAUCUGCUUGUAUGUGUACACCACAUUCAUGCCUGGUGCCCUGGGACUAGUCACAGAAGUUUAUGAGCCUCUGUUUGGAUGCUGACAAUCAAUUCAGGGCUCUCUGGAAGAGAAGCCAUCCCUCCAGCCCCAAGUGUCUCAUUUUUGUUGUUGGUGGUGGUGGUUGCUUUGUUGUUGUUGUUUUGCUUUGUUUUUUGUUUUUUGUUUUUGUUUUUUUUUUUUUUUUUUUGAGACUGGGAUUUUCUGUGUAGCCCUGGCUGUCCUGGAACUCCCUUAGUAGACCAUGCUGGUCUAAACUCAAGAGAUCUGCCUGCCUUGCCUUAUGAGAGCUGGUGUUGAAGGUAUGUGCCACCACGGCCCUGCUGAAGUGUCACUUUUAAUGUGAAGUAUUUCCUGAAGUCACAGCUGAAGUCUUUUUUUGGAGGCUUCCCCAUAAACUAGUAGUUUUCUAGAAGAAUCUAUAACUACUUAUAGAGAAGUGGGUUUUAUUUGUUCUUCAUUUAGCUUGUCACUAUAUUUCCUAAGGUUUCUCUAAAUUCCCACAAACUGUGUGUCUUAUCACAUUGAAAUGUGCUCACUCACAGCUCUGAAGUCCAGAAGUCCAGAAUGAAGUCCCCAGUAUGGCCACUCUGUUUCUGAAGACUCCAAAGGAAAACUGUCCCUGCCUCUUGAAGUUGUGGGUGGCACUGCGUGUUCUUGGUGUGGCAGCACAACUUGAGUCACCUGUCUUAGACUCUGUGCUCCCUUCUGCUGUUCACACUUCUUCCCCCUUCCUGUCUCUAAUGAGGACAUCUGUCAUUACAUUGAGAGUUCGUCAUAAUCUACUAUGAUUGGAUCUCAAGACUUUUACCAUAAUUAUGAAUGCAAAGAACCUGUUUUAAAGUAAGAUCACAUCCUCAGGUGCUAGAUGGUACAUGCUUUGUGGGUCACCAAUCAGGCAGCAGCAUUUACUGAAUAUAUGCACACAGGUAGCAUCCUUUUUUUUUUUUUUUUUUUUUUAACUCUAUAGAAGUUGGUGCUUAGAGCUUGACUUAGUAGACUUGGAACGUUAAGUUCCAAUCCACUGCAUCCAUUAAUAUCAAGCCCUCAUUACCAAAUAUAUACAAUUGUUUCAUUGUGAAUUUGCCAUCAUUGCCAUUUUUACUCUACUUCCUGUUUAUUUUUCAAGGUAGUUUGAGUGUCUACAGCAUAAUCCCAAGUCCUUUUGCUUAUGGAGAAAUAGUUAUCAAUUUGUCCUUCUUGUAUACAGUCCCUGAAAUCUAGUCUCAGGAUGAGACUGAGAGCAGAAUGUGCCAAGAACCCUGAGUUUGUAGGCAGAAGAAUCAGGUUACUCACCCACAAGGAGAUCUUGGAUGAACAUCAGCUUCUGCGCAUUUGCUCUUUAAUAAGCAAAACAAAAGUAAUAAUAUUACUGCAAAGCGCUGAGAUGAUUGGGAAUACUUGGCUGAUAAUUUUUAAAGAUGUAAAGUUAUAUGAAUGAAAGUUACAUGAGUCACCGAACAUGUGUAAAUACCAAGCGGUGUGUAGCACUAGGGUGCAAACUGAAAGGCUGCCCCUGUAGACUUGGCCACAAGUUUGUCUCACUUGAGCAGUGUAACCAGCCUCUUCCUCCAUUAAACUGUCACUUGCCAUUUACUGAAAAUGUGUACAGAGUAAGUUUGCUUUGUUGUUGAUACAGAAAGAAAUCGCCUUGAGAAAUGUGCUAAGAGGACAAGACAUAGUCUGUGUCUUCUUUGAGGUUAUAAUUUAACAGGGAACGAGAUAUGCUUAGCAAGAAGUAGGCUAAGUGCUGAGUGACGAACGGGCCUUUGCUUGGAAAGGGUGAUCAGGGUGGCUUCCUGGGAGGCAAGAGACAGGUCGGAAAGAUGUAGCCCCUGUGAUGAGCACCGCAGCUGAACUAGGCUGACACCUUUCGUAAAAGCAAAGCAGAAGACCAAGAUGCUGGCCAGGGGCCUGUCACAGGUUACAGGAUAUUUGACCAUGCUGUGAACCCUGAGAUUGAUUUAUUUACCGAGAAAACACGCACCUUGAAUCCAAGACCUAAAUAAAGUCAACCUCAGUCAAGAGGCAGAGCGAGGAACCAGCUGAUAGGAAGUGACUAUAAACAGAAAGGAGUGAAGUUGAGUUUGAAGGGUAUUUAGGACAGCCCGGAGGAGAAGGAACUUAAUUCCUUCUGGGUCUUUAUCAGUAGAGUAGGAAGGUCAGCUGGAUACGUUUUCUGCCUCUCAAAGCUAGCUGGUUUUCACCACAGCAUCUGGAUCCUGAGUCUUCAUUGGCUGGGAUUUUUAAAACAAGUCAGUGUCUCCUAAAAGUUGCAGCCCCAGAAGAGAAGCAACAGAUCACAGCGUCUGAUAACUAACUUCUGAGUUAUCUAACAUUCUGAACCCCUCUGUUGUGACUGGAUGUUUCACAGACUUGGCUCCACUAGGAUUGAUCUCCACUAGGCUGAGCAGUCACCAAACCAGUUAGUAAAUCUUCCCAGUUGAAAGACCACGCUGGCAAUUCUCCCUAGAAAGAGAAGACUCACAUUCUUGAUAUUCAGGGUUUGGAUCUCAGCAAGUGUUUACUAAGCACUAAUUAAUUAUGCAUGCGCCAAAAAGAACAAGGACCCAAUGCCUGUCUUGAAGGAACCCUGUCUUGAACGAACCAUUUAGUUUCUAGAAUAGGGGAGCCAUGCGGAAGAUCACAGGGUCACGGGAAGUGAGAACCAAGCAGAAGGGCACAGGAAGUAAGGGGUCUCCAGCUUCUAUGUGAGGCUCAGAGACAGACAGUGGUUUUUGGACAGGACUCUGUCAGAUGACCAAGAGCAAGUAGGCCUUUCCUCUAGAGAAGUCUCUGUCAGGGGUAGGGACCCCUCUGCCAGCAUUUUCUCAAAGCCUGAAUAAAUAACAGGGCUGAGAAGGCAGUAAGGACUUCAUUGAAAAGACCUGUGCGCCAUGCAGAGCAAAGUGGGUUUUCCCUGCGUGCUGAGGAGGAGCAGUGGCGCAGCACAGGGCAUGAGGACUCUAGUUAACAAAUCUGUUGUUUCUGAAGUUUAAUCUGAUGUUCAGGUGAAGAGUUCUCCCUAAAGUGUGUGAGCUUUCUAACCCUGAAGCAGCCAGUGCCCCAUACCCCGUGCCCUGUGACCCACCCCCGCUGGUGGAACCUUUGGCUACUUCCCUGCCACGGAGAUAUAGCUGAGGCUUCUCUGUUUAUUCUGUUUAUUCCUUCCUAGGCAGCAGUGAGUUCCACAUUCGAGGGGUCAUCUCAGGGCUAAGAUCACAGUUAAGUCUCAGUGUAAAUGUUCAUUUCACUUACUAAUGUUGAAAUCUGUUCUUCGAAUUUUCUUUAUUUCCCAGAUAAAGUAGCUUUUAGAGCCAUGCUUUUCUUAUCUGUAAGGAACUCAUAGCAGUCACUGCCUCUGCGAUUAAGAUCCCCACGGGUCUCUCGGUGUCCUCUGCUUUGUUUUGACCCACAGCAAGUUUUUCAGAGUGUUCCAACUGUAAGAAGUCUCACACAAGACCUUGUGUCCUUUGGGGUUUGCAAUAAGGAAACAUGUGUGUCUUGAUGCAUAUGUUAAUUCUUCAAAAAACCUUUGAAAAGUUGUAGUAAAGUUUAGCAUGCUAUGUGAGGGGGCAGUGUUUGUCAUUACUCUCUCCAUUAUUAAAAUGUCCACACAAAGCUGCAGCUCUGCUUCUUGCCAGAGGAUUGGCAAGGCCGAGCCACCCUUACCCAAAUUCCAGAGAUACCCAGGCUCCUCCUGAGUGCUUCUGCUUAAGGCUGGGCUGCAUGUGCUGUGAGUUAUCGCUGACAGCUCAGAUGAAUACCAUAUGGUCCUGAUGCUAGAUUGCAACUUUACAGAUUUUUUUUCUAUAUUCCUGUUCUGGCUUUUCCCCCAUUUUGGUAAUGCAUUUGAAUAGGUCACCUCAUGGCCUGCAAAUAUUUUCUUCAGCAUGGUGUCGUCUUUAGUUUCAGAAGCAAGGAAGUGAUCUAUCCCCUCAUCCCCCCACCCUCAUCUUAAAUGCUGCAAUCAAGACAACCAUGAAACAUUCCUAAUUCAAAGAACUUCUCAAUCAACUUUUGUGCAAUUUAGCCAUACUUCCUAGUGUAUCUAUUUACCUCAAAUGGGUCAUUUUGAGGGGUUAAAAAAAAUGUGUAGCUUCCAGUUUAUUAUACAAGAAAUUGUUGCCAGGCAAAGGUGGCAGCACUCCUUUAAUCCUAGACCAAGAAAACGAACACAUCUCUGAGUUCAAGGCCACCCUGAUCCAGUGGAGUUCUGGACAUCCAGGAAAAACCCUGUAUUAACCAAAAGAGGAGGAGGAAGAGGAGGAGGUGGUGGUGGCAGGCAGGCAGGCAGAAAGAUAGGAAGGAAGGAAGGAAGGAAGGAAGGAAGGAAGGAAGGAAGGAAGGAAGGAAUUGUUGUACAUUUAAAGUUGUCUGCUUUCUCUAGUUAGUUCCCUUAGUGAAAAUAGCAGGAGUAUUUAGGAUCUGUCGCCAAAUAUUAAUUAAUUAACUAAUUUGUUAAUAACCACCACCCCCUUUGCUGAGAGUUAUUCUAAAGCCUUUGUGUGAUAUUUUAAAAGACCAAGCAGAUGACUUGAGACCCACACGAGACCCAGGGAAUUAAAUAGCUAGGCGUAAGUAUAAUCUGGAUCAAAGUUUCAGGGGGAAACAAAGGAACUGAUGUAUCCAUCAGAAACAAAGGGUAGCAAAAUACAACGUGACGGAUCUGGAGAGUAAAACCGAGUGCCCUGCCUGGAAUCACGCUAAGGGUAAUUCUUCAGGCAGGAAGACCGACUUCUCCAGCAUCUCCUCAGUAAAGCUGCCUGCUCUAAAUCAAGGGAACACUUGGCUGGAUAGCUAGCAGUAACAUAGGCACUGAAACGAUGGGCAAGGGCUCUCAGGAUCACUCUGAGCCACAAAGCUGGGUUGUCUUUAAUGGAAGAUUUGUUGUUAGAGCAGUGGGGUGACAAAUGUUGGCCACAGAGGCCGAGUCAAGAAUGUACUCCUGCAGCUCUCCUGCAUGGCUCUGGCAGGCAUCUACACUGAUGGUCGUUAGUGUCCUGUCUCCUGUUCUUCAGUGAUGUCUGUUGAUUCUGAGCCCAAGGUUACCUGAGUGUCCACUCCUAUUAUGUCAGCACAUUUUCAUAAAAUGUGUCAUAUGUCCAGUCCACCGGCCCACAUCCAUAUUGUCUCUUCCUUGUAUCUUUUCUUUGCCCGUUUCUCUCUUAAACUCCUACGUUCCUUAUGGCUUGGUUAAGAUUUCACCUUCACCUUUUCUAGAAAGUGUUCUGCAUCACUUCUUGUUUCACCCUAAGAGUAACCCAUCGAUCCAUUCUCUUCCUUUCUCGAUCAGUUUCUGAGUUCACUUUCCAUGCGAGAGUUCAGACUGUAAUACUCUUCACUCUUUUACAUUGUGCUCAGAUGGCCUGUAGGUGAUGUGAGUUCCUCUUGACUUGGUACCCAGCCCUGGGAUAGGAUUAGACACCUAUCUGCUGUAUGUUCAGGGCUGAACCAUCUUCUCCUUGUCUUUAGUGUGCUCUGUGCUGUGCAUAUGGUUGGUGUUUGUACUUGUCAGUGUGGGUGGACACAUGUGUAUACAGAUACAUGUGCAUCUGGAUGAAGUACACAUAGAGACCAGAGAUCAAUACUGGAAUCUUCCUUACUCACUCUGCACCUUUAUUUAUUUAUUUAUUUUAUUUUAUUUUAUUUUAUUUUAUUUUAUUUUAUUUUGAGACAGGAUCUCUCACUGAAUCUGAAGUUCAUCCAUUUGUCUAGGCUGGCCAGCCAAUGAGAUUCAGGGUUCUCCUGUCUCCAACCAAAUCCACUAUGGACUGGCAGUGCUGGCUGGCAUUAUACCACCGUGCCCCAUUGUAUGUGUGUGCCUGGGAAUCUAACUCAAAUGCUUAUGCUUAUGUGGCAGGCAGUUUACUGACUGAGCAUCUCUCAAGUGCCACAGAUAUACUCAUAAAGACCUUCCCCCAGCCCUCCGUGUCACACCCUUGCAGAGGGAGAGCUUAAGAAGCACUGGCCUGAGUUCUGUGGGCUUGACUGCCCGUAGGACAUGAGCCGUUUAGCAGCAGCCGCGGAGGUCACGGGAGUUUGUUCAGUGGCAGUGUCAGGGCAAGUACCAGCCUUCCUCAGUGGCAGAGCCGAGCCAGCACGGGCAUCAGUAUAGCAGCAGACAUGUCAUUGCUUCUGAAAUUGACAGCUGAUGACUCUGUUGUGACAUUGUCAUGCGUGUAGUAUUCUGAGGUGUUAUCUCUAAAUAUUAAACCACAGUUUCCACUUGUCGUAUUUGAAAAACCAAUGUUACUUUUUUUACAGUUGUAUUUCCUUUGUAAAACUGUCAGAGUUCUCAUAUAAAACGGUGAAUAUAAUUUCGACUGCUUAUGUGACUGUGUCUUUCUGUCUUUCUGACUAGACUAAUUGCUCUUUUGCCUUUUUAAUUAUUUAGGUAUUUUUUAACUUCUGGAGCACAAGGUUUUCUGUUGUUCAGAAUCACCUGCUGCUAGUUUAAACUACUUAAUCUCUCUGGUUCACAGGUUGCAGGGUGACACUUUAUUUGGAUUGGAUUGGAUUGGAUUGGAUUGGAUUACAGUUUGAAAGGGUCCAGCCAGCCAUGGCUAACAAGCCUGCAGAGGGUAAGAUAUGUCUCUUACUGUAAAUAGAAUUUCUAGUCUUACUUGUGAAAUUACGGUUGGGAACGGAGAAGAGCCACACUUGUCUCACAUGUGGGCCUCUGGCAGGAGUCAUGCUACCUGACUUUCUUAUUUGACAUUUUUUUCUCUGUAGGAAGAAUCAUGGCAAUAUUCAUAGCAAAUGUGAGUUGCACUCAAAAUCUCAACCCCAUUUUUUAUAUAUGAUCUGUAUUCAAAUAGUAGAUCACUGUUCACGUAUAAUUUUCUAUAUGAUUUAUAUAUUUUCUUACUUGUAUGUAGCUAUACCUAAUUUCUGGUUUUAGUGUUGUGAAUAGAAUAGAAGCAUCAUUCAUACAUUGAACAUUUGUGUUUUCAUUGCAGGUACUAAGUCAUUCAUAGAUUACAUUAUGACAUCUAUACAUGUCUGUCUUGUACUUUGAUAGCAUCUACACUCCUGUCUCUUGUUCUCCUCCUUUCCCUCAGUACUUGGUUCCCUUCAUCUUCCCAAUAGUCACUCUGGUAUUUGUGAAGCAUUUAUUUGUUGUUUCCAUGGAUAUAAGAAAGUAUAUGAUGCUCUAUCUUUCUGGAUGUAGGUUGUUUUACAUAAUGUGAUGAUCUGUGUCUACAUGUUUUUCUGAAAAUGACAAGAUUCCACAUUUUCUUUACCCAGGCUCUGUUGGUGUGUUGGCUGAUCCCAUGUCCUGAUGCUUGCACAUAUUAUGCCUCUCAGUGUGCAUGUGAAGUCUCCUCUUAUGUAAAGGAGUAGUGUGCUCCGUGCGCACUAGUAAAGUGCAUCCCCACUGACUGUGUUGGGGUUUCUCUUUCCUCACAAUUUUGCUAACAUUUGUUUAGAUUGGGAAGCGGGGGGUAUAAUUUUUUUCUAAUUGCCAUUAUGACUGGAAUGAAGUGGAAUUUCAGUAAUUUUGUUUGGAGUUCCCUGCUAACUAAGGAUAACAAUCAUCUUUUUCUGUGUUUAUUGGCCAUUUGCACUGCUUCUGAGAAGUGCCUUUGAUGAUCAUUUGUGCUUUUAUUGAUUGAUGCUCUCAUCAGGUACAGCGGUGAAAAACUCAAACAGAAACCAGGCAUCAGAGAAGUUGGCUCAUUGCUGUGAGACUUCACCAUGUGAUUCAGAAGCAGCCUAAGACAUCCUGGAUGCUAUAAGCAGAUCUUAAUAGAUGAUUCCAUUAGGAACCAACAAGACUAGUACCAAUAGAGUAAUGUUCUCUUGUGAUUUCAGAUGCUAAUGAGGGAUUUAUCAGGAGCAGAAACCACGAGGGUUAUAUUCUGGCAAAGCAUUGUUAAUCCCACCAGGCAAGAACGAGACCCACUACCACAAGUUCUGAGCCAAAUUUGAAAUAUGGUUUAUUAAGUCCAUGAUCUUGGCCAGGUCCAUACCUGAGAUUCCCAUUACUCAGGAGCUUAUAAAGGCAAAACCUAUAAGGAAGGCUCUAUACUUCCCACUCUCAUCCAAUCAGGGGAAAGCAUACAUCCUGUUGUAAUUUCUGCCUACAUACCUCCUGCCUCUAUGUGAUCAAACACAUCCUGUGCACUUGGGGCAACCAAGCUUCUUUAUAGAAGCUAAAAUGUGUGCCUUGUUAUCUUAUAUGAACAAUAGCCCAAAGAAUUCCAAGAAAUUAUCUGUCCUUGGGCAAGUAGAGCUUACAGAUUAGGUGCAUUUUUGUUUAUAAAUCUCUUAAACACGGUAGUUUAAACUUAAAACAUUAGCAUCACAGCACUUGUCUGCAUUUUGUCCCUGUUAUGACACUUUUGGGAGAAUAAAGUUAGAGGAAACAGGUGGAGGAAAUUCAAAGGCAGCUAGCAUUCUGCCUGUAGCAUGGUUUUUGCUAGCUUCUUUUAUUCACAUAUACAGUGAAAAUUGUGAGCAAAAACCAGAACAAAAUGAAAAAUAUAUAGUUCGGUCAGAAAACAUUAUAUAAAUUUAAACUUAAGGCUUGCAUGUUUUCUGAACAUACUGCCAUUAAAAGGAAACAAAGUACUUUGAAUCAUAUAAUAUAAAAAUUUUAUUAAGGACAUCUCAAGUAUUAUUAGUAAGACACACCCAUCACAGGCUCAAGUGUUUUUGUUAUUAAUGGCUAUGUGAUUUUUUUGCUAUGUGAGUUUUUUUUUCUCAGAAAGCUCUAUCCCUAACCCUCCUACUCCUUUUCUUUUGUACUGUUUUUUUUCCGUGUGUGUGUGUGUGUGUGUGUGUGUGUGCACUUCAUUGAUUUUGUGUAUGCUGUUAUAUUUUAAGAAUAAGGAUAAUAUGAACAGUAAUUCUAGGACAGUAUUUUUUAUUCUGGUGUGUUUCCCUGCCAUGCUGUUUUAUUGAUAUUUACUUGGAUCUCUGCUGUCCCUGAAAUUUAUUUUGGAGUGUAUGCUAAUAUCAAUAAGGAACCUGUUUCUAUUUUUAAAUAUCUUCCACAUUUUUCUUACCAUUAACUACUGAUAAAUACUCUUUCUUUAUUGCUAACAAAAGACUACUUUUGUCUCCUUAUCACAUAAAAAUUUUCAGUAUACCAUAAAUUUUCUUUCAUGUAUUGUGGAAACAUCUUCCACGAAUGAAGGAAGCUGUGUGCAGAGAUUUCUGAGGACUCAUGAGAAACUCUAAGUAAACGUGUAACUUCUAUUUCUCCACAACAUGGGUUGUUCUAGGAAUGCGCUUGCAGGUCCCUCCCAGGUGUCGGAAAUGAGAGUGGGUUUGCUUCAGAUUACCCAUUGCUGCUUACUUCUGUUAUUCAAAACUGCUUCCAUGCCCUUGUGACUGUAUACAGCCUAGACUCAUAUGAUCUUGCCUAACCCUCAGAAAAGAAAUUGUCUGAUGCUCUGAGUAAAGUUGCCUAUUGAUGAGACUUAAGCCCAUUUCAUUUCUAGGCCUGCUUUCCCAAGUUUACACCACCAAACAGAGAAUAAAGCACGCAAAAAAAAAAAAAAAAAAAAAAAAAAA